rnacentral:rRNA from 1 species
AGGUAGCUUGCUACUGAUCUUAGCGGCGGACGGGUGGGUAAUACUUAGGAAUCUGGCUAUUAGUGGGGGACAACAUUUCGAAAGGGAUGCUAAUACCGCAUACGUCCUACGGGAGAAAGCAGGGGAUCUUCGGACCUUGCGCUAAUAGAUGAGCCUAAGUCGGAUUAGCUAGUUGGUGGGGUAAAGGCCUACCAAGGCGACGAUCUGUAGCGGGUCUGAGAGGAUGAUCCGCCACACUGGGACUGAGACACGGCCCAGACUCCUACGGGAGGCAGCAGUGGGGAAUAUUGGACAAUGGGGGGAACCCUGAUCCAGCCAUGCCGCGUGUGUGAAGAAGGCCUUAUGGUUGUAAAGCACUUUAAGCGAGGAGGAGGGUACUGGUAUUAAUACUACCAGGUACUGGACGUUACUCGCAGAAUAAGCACCGGCUAACUCUGUGCCAGCAGCCGCGGUAAUACAGAGGGUGCGAGCGUUAAUCGGAUUUACUGGGCGUAAAGCGUGCGUAGGCGGCUAAUUGAGUCGGAUGUGAAAUCCCCGAGCUUAACUUGGGAAUUGCAUUCGAUACUGGUUAGCUAGAGUGUGGGAGAGGAUGGUAGAAUUCCAGGUGUAGCGGUGAAAUGCGUAGAGAUCUGGAGG